UGGCUCUCGCAUCGAUGAAGAACGCAGCGAAAUGCGAUAAGUAAUGUGAAUUGCAGAAUUCAGUGAAUCAUCGAAUCUUUGAACGCAUCUUGCGCCCUUUGGUAUUCCGAAGGGCAUGCCUGUUUGAGUGUCAUUAAAUUAUCAACCAUACCAAUUGACUUUGGUUUAUGGCUUGGAUGUGGGGGUUUGCCGGCUUUUUAUCAAGUCAGCUCCUCUGAAAUGUAUUAGCGGUGUUGAAAUGAUCAGCAAUUUUGGUGUGAUAUCUAUCUACUCCAAUUGAUAAGUCUGACCAUCGAAUCAAUAUUACUGCUUCUAACUGUCUAAUCUAAUUGGACAAUACAAUGACGAUUUUGACCUCAAAUCAGGUAGGACUACCCGCUGA
rnacentral:misc_RNA from 1 species